rnacentral:rRNA from 1 species
UACGUAGGGUGCAAGCGUUGUCCGGAAUUAUUGGGCGUAAAGAGCUUGUAGGCGGUUUGUCGCGUCUGCUGUGAAAUUUCGGGGCUCAACCCCGAACUUGCAGUGGGUACGGGCAGACUAGAGUGUGGUAGGGGAGACUGGAAUUCCUGGUGUAGCGGUGGAAUGCGCGGAUAUCAGGAGGAACACCGAUGGCGAAGGCAGGUCACUGGGCCGCAACUGACGCUGAGGAGCGAAAGCAUGGGGAGCGAACAGG